GGCACUUUGGCGGAGUGGUUAACGCGAUGCCCUGCUAUUAUCAUCGAUAACAGUGUAGGCAUUCCCUUCGGGGGCGUGUGUUCGAAUCACACAGGUGUCG
rnacentral:tRNA from 1 species